rnacentral:lncRNA from 1 species
AUGUUGGGGGUGCUGGGGGGCAGCCUGACCCCUUGGAGAGGCGUUUUUUGGGACAGGGUGGCUUCUCACAGAGCCUGGGGAUGGCUCCGAGGGUUGGCCCAAAGUUCAGAGCUGGGAUUCCAGGGACCCUGGCAGAUCCAGGAGAGGAUGGUGGGGAGUGCUUGGAGGGGCUGGGCAGGCUCAGCUGAGCCCUCCUGGAGGGUCACAGCCCCUGGGUGUCCCCUGGAGCCACCAGAAUUCCCCAUUUGGAUGGAAAGCCAUGGAUUGUCCUUGUCCUCGUCCUUGUCCUCGUCCUCGUCCUCUCCCUUGUCCUCAUCCUCGUCCUUGUCCUUGUCCUUGUCCUUGUCCUCGCCCUUGUCCUCGUCCUCGUCCUUGUCCUCGUCCUUGUCCUUGUCCUUGUCCUUGUCCUUGUCCUUGUCCUUGUCCUCGUCCUUGUCCUUGUCCUUGUCCUUGUCCUUGUCCUUGUCCUUGUCCUUGUCCUCGUCCUUGUCCUUGUCCUCGUCCUCGCCCUUGUCCUUGUCCUUGCCCUCCUUCCCUCCCCCCAAAUCCCCCGGGUGCUGCUGCUCUGAGCCCAGCACAGCUCUGAGAGGCCACGAAAGAUUUUUCCCUUCAGGAGACCCGCAGGAGGAGACGCUUUGAACGCGGCAGGAAAACUCAAGGAAAGCACAAGACUAGAAAUUUAGAAGAGACUUUCAGUGAAGCUCAGAUAAUUUUCUUGGAACUCUGAAAAAUACUUAAAAUCGUGAGACAGCGCAGGGUCAGGUCAUAGGAGACUUGCUAAAGUAAAAGAGAGAAUUAAUAAAAAAGGAAACAAAGGAACAUUAAAUUCACAACUUAACUAAUUAUACAUUUGAUUCAGGGGCAUGUCUGGAGGCUUUCGAAAAUUUGCUUGGAAUGUUGAAAGAAUUCAGGUUAAACAAUAAAACAGAAAUCAAAAGAAUUCUGUAAUACAGAAUUUGUACUCUUAAUACAGCGGUUUUAAAAUUAAACACAGAAAUUGAAUUUGAGCAUUAAAAAUCGAGCUUGUACUGUUUUUUCUGAUAUAUAUACAGGAAAUUUUGACUCCUUCCCAGCGUGCUCCCAGUGCUGCCUGGCAAUGUCUCUGCUCCCCCUGCUCCUUUUCCUGUUCUCUCCUCUCCCUCCUGGUGGCCUCGUGUCCCUCCCGGUGCCACCGCGCCUCUCCCUGCUCCGUGUUGUCCCAAAACAGCUCCUGUCUGACAGCAUCACCUCGUGUCAGGGCCCAGCCUCUGCCCCAGCUCGGGCUAAAAUCUCAGGAAACGGGAAAAACAACACCAAAAAAAUUGGCCAAAAAUGUCGGCCUGCUGCUGUGUGUGUGUGCAGAGCCCCGGUGGGAUGGGUUUGUCCCCCUGUGUCCCCCUGUGUCCCCCUGUGUCCCCCGGGGGUCCCUCCCGCCGGGCGGGGCCGAGGGGGGCGCGGCCAUGACAUCACCUCGGCGCGCUGCCAUUGGCUGCCCGGCCGAUGACGUCAUCGCUGCAUCGCGGCGGGAUGCGGGCUGCCCUGCCGAUGACGUCAUCGCUGCAUCGCGGCGGGAUGCGGCGUUGCCGUGGGAACGGGAUGCGCGGGACCGCGGGAUCCCGGGCUGGGAGCGCUCCUGGGCCAUCGCUCCGGGGCCCUUGGGAUGGAAUUUGGGAUGUGCGGGCUCUGCCCGGCUCGCUGCGAGCCUUUCCCGUGCUCAGCUCCUUCAUCUUUUCCCCCACCGCCAAAUAAUCUUCAGUCAAAUAAUUAAAUAAUCCUCAAUUAAAGAAUCCUUAUUAAACCGGCUGAAAGAGAAAGCCGAAAAGAAAUUUUCCAACCUUACAAAAGAAACAAUUUAGUAAAAAAUAAAAACCAUUUCAAGGGUGAGGGUGCUGGAAAUGCCCGUGGGGUGAGGGUGCUGCAAAUGCCCGUGGGAGUUGGAAGCAGCUGGUUCUGGGAGCAGAAAUCGCGGCUCUGCCUCCUCCAGCCUCCUCCAGCCCCGAGCCGCUCCCGCCCGCCGCUGGUCACACGCGAUUCCCAAGGACAAAAACAAAGCCCUUUACCCCAGGCUUCAACUCUGAG